rnacentral:rRNA from 1 species
UACGUAGGGGGCAAGCGUUGUCCGGAAUUAUUGGGCGUAAAGAGCGCGUAGGCGGUCCGAUAAGUCGGCUGUGAAAGUCCAGGGCUCAACCCUGAAACUGCAUUCGAUACUGCGUGGCUAGAGUGCUGGAGAGGAGACUGGAAUUUACGGUGUAGCAGUGAAAUGCGUAGAUAUCGUAAGGAAGACCAGUGGCGAAGGCGAGUCUCUGGACAGCAACUGACGCUGAGGCACGAAGGCCAGGGGAGCAAACGGG